AAAUUCUUUGUGCAAGAAAGAAACACUAUUUCUAGAAAUAGACUUUUUUUUUUAGUACUUUGAGAAAGAACACAAAGAAUCUUUGGAAAUGAGAAGGUAACGGUGAAAUCAGGGAGCUUCUGUGCUCACCAAUGACAUUUAAUUUCCUUUGCUGAGGAAAUGAAGAGGAAGAUGAGGUCUCAGGGGCAGCUCCUGACACACCCGUGGCAAUAUGACAUUGCUGAAUGCUUUCUCAGACUCCCAUUUGUUUGGGGUAGUGACAGCUGUUUGACUUCUCCCACUGGACCCCACAGUUAUUUGCUUCCCUAUAGCAAUCUGGUUGAUCACAGUGAGGAAAAAUGGAUUCUGUAGCUUAGCAUUUACAUUCUGCCCAAGUGCUGUCGGGUUCCAUCAUCACAGACUCUCAUGGGACCUCUUUCCCUAGCCUUGGAAGCUACAUGGCAAAUCCACAGCAAAGCUAUCUGAGUUCCUGUUUACUUAUGAAGAACAUUUGGCCCAACCUCUGCCAGGAACAGAUCUGAUUCAAGAACAAUUAUCAAACAGAUACUUCCAUGGGUCAGGACUGAUGUGUUAAUUGGAAGAAUUCUGGGUCUCUGUGCUUGCAACCAUUGGGAGUUCAGACCUUAAAAUGCAGCCUUUUUCAACUGAAUUUCCACAACUUCUGUUGCUAUUCUUAUUACUAUACGCAGCCCUGCAAAUGCUAGAAAUUCCAGAAGAAUGAGUGAAUGAAUAGUUACUUGAAUAAGAAGAUGCAGAAUAUACAUCAUGAAAUUAAAUAAAAAGAGACUGCGUUAGAGACUUCUGGUGCUUACCUCUCUCUGAUCCUCCUCUUUUUCCUUGCACAAGGGAGAUUGUAUUUCUCUGCCCCUUGCAGUCCAGAUAAAAUGCAAAAGCAAGAAAUUGCACCUGAUACUUGAAAGUUGCUAUUCCUGACAGCACUUCAUCUUUUUUCUUGCCCAUAUUGGCUCUUUUCCCAGCCCAUCCAUUCCUUAAUGCCUAUGAGCUGGAUAUUAUUAUCUCCAUUUUGUAAACAAGGAAACUGAAGGCCUUCUAAGAUAAAGAACAUAGCUAAAGCCAAAUGGUCAGUAAAUGGCAAUACCAGGAUUUGAAACAAUCUUGGUGUGACCUUCUUCUGUGCUCUUUCCAUCAUGACAAGACUCUAGAGGGAUGGAAACCACUGCAACGGAUGAAGACCAUUAGGCAACAUUUUAUCUACUUCCAAUUUUGUACCUGGUUGUAUCAUUGAAACUGUUCUUUCUAUCCCAGGAUUUGUUCCAUCAAUUCCAAGUCCUGUCUUUUCUUGCUUACUUGGUACAAUGGCAUCUGAUCUAAUUCCAACCAUUUUCUCUGACAUCCAGGGAUGAAGUGCAACUUCUCCAGUCAACACAGGCAUUCCUCUUAGUUGUUACCUGGGUGUUCUCUCCUUGCUCUAGGACCAGUGAAUACCCCAGGUCUCAGAGCACCAUUUCAAAUAAUCCUCUAGCCAAAUGGCAGGCGCCUCUAGAGAAAGAGGUGAGAUAUAAUGCAGAGCAGAUAAAUGAACUCCCAGACAAGCUCAAGGGGCUGGGCAGGAGGAGACAGGUGAGCACACCCAAUGGUCAGUGCCUUCAUUUAGAAUGUUCAAUUCCAUCCCAUGGGCAGCUUAUCUGUGUUCAUGGUGCCCUCAUUUGUGAGCAGCUACUGCCAAAUGCUGCUUGGGGUGGCAUAACCUGCCAAGAAAGUCUAUUGGAGAGCUAACUAACCACCUCUUCACCAAGUUCACCUCUGAGGCUACUAGCAACAGGUGAGUGACCAUCAGCACACAGAGAAACAUCAAACCCAGAGAAAUUCAUGACCUUGCCAACUGAGCUAAGCUCAACAUAAGACAAUUUUUCACCAUUUCACCUCAACAUGAAGCAUUUAAUGGAAUCUAUUACAAUGGAAACAUUUUACCUGGAGGAGUGUCAAAACUUAAGAUAUUGCUCCGAGAUGGAUUUGUGUUCCUUGAAUGGUGAUGUGAAAUGUUCUUUUUUAUUUUGUCUCAAUUUCCAAGAAAAUCUUUCCUCACAUAUGUGAAAAUUACUGAUUCAGGGGUAAAAGCCAAUUCUGACAGCCUUUGGUAGGUGUGGAUUCAGACUCAAAGGGAAGAUCAAUAUAAAGCAAGAUGAUAGACAGCCUUUUGGGAAGAUCUGGAAUACAUAUGCCACCUUCCUUCUUUCAUGACACCUGGACCAGUAUGACCCAUGAACCAAACCUAGGACCCUGCAAAACACUAUUUUUUUCUGUAUGUUUGCUUGCUUUCAGGUUGAAUCAUUUUUAAAAAUUUGUUUUAAAUUAUAAAAGUAAAAUAUGGAUUUAUUUUCACUGCAAACUUUAAAUAGAGAAAAAGUGAAAUCCCCUUAACCCUCUCCCGAUCUCAUUUACAUAAGCAUUUUCCAUUAUCUAGUUAGUGCGCAUCCUUCCUGUUUUUUAAUAAACGUUCACAUUCACAUAAGUACAUUGUGACCCAACUCUUUAAUCAAUGAACAUCUAUUCAUUCUGUCAACCAUUAAACAAAUAUAAUUUGAGAACUUACUAUUUAGAAGGCUUUGUGUUAGGCACAGGCAAUGCAGAAAGAUUAAGUCAUAACAUACUGAACACUUGAUUUAUGCCAGACAUCGUGCUUUAGUAUUGUAUUUAAUCCACAGGACAACCCUGAAAAGAUGUUUAUAGAUGAGAAAACUGAAGUUCAGAGAAGCUACGUAAUUUACCCAUGGCCACACAGAUGAUGGAGAACAGCACUCAGACUAAAGCAAGGACUAUCUAGAGUCCAUCAUCUUAAUGACGCAACUUCAAUGUAGUGAAAUAAUAGUUCGCAUGACACUUUCCUAACGGCUUCACACAUAUUAUCUCAUUUAAUUUUCACAACAUGAAUACAUACUGUUAUCACCCCCAUUUUAUAAUUAGCUUAACAAGAUAGUACUAAUCAUCAGUGGCAGAGCUGUGAGUCCUGUCUUGAUAGUCUGGUUCCAUAGCGUCCUCUUUUAACUCCUAUCUUAAGCUAUUUAUCCCAAUAUUUUCUGCAUAGAAUGCAUUCUUGUGCUUAAACACUAUGUAGUUCUUAAUCACGUUUACUUAGGGUUUUUAUCAUUGAAAAAUGCUUAUGUUAUAAUGAAAAUAAAAUAAUACAGUAGAAAAUUGAAUAAAUGGUAUGAUCCUAGUUAUAUCAGUUAAAUAUGUCAGGAAAAUGUAUUGGAAAUUAACUUGGUGGUUUUGUUCUUUCUGCUUAUAGAUGUUUUCCUCCCACUAUUUCAAAAAGGCCGCCUGGUCUCUGCUCUCGUCUCAGUGGAUACUUUGUAAGAGGGCCAAAGUAGAAGUGGCCAGCCACUCCCAUGGCCACUUCCACCUGUCUCCUAGUGGAGAUUAGGCCAAGUUGGGUGGGCAGGGGAGGUGGCAGGGAGGCAAGAGUUUUUGGAGAGGAGAUGGGAACAAGAGAAUUGACAUGAGGUUUAGGGAGCUUAUCCCAUCACUGAGAAGUAGAUGGGGAUUUAUUUUCAGGUUCCUCAGUUAAUGGAGACCAGUCUCCCAUUCCUGUGGUGACACCCAACACACUAGUAAAAGGACUUAUGAAGGAAUAGUAGUACAAGUGUGUUUGGGACUGGGGUUGGUGAAGACUGAACACUCAAGCCAUGAAUUGGGAGGGCACAGCAAAGAUCCUCCUGCCUGAUCUUUAUGCCUGGCUUCAAAAGAUUGUUCAACAGUGGUAAACAGUGUGGAAUGUAGAAAAAGUCCCUUUCCAGAAUGUUCUUAAUUGUGUAUGAUCACAUAAAACCUUUUUGGAAAACAUCGCCUCCACCCAACCUCCACCCAGUAUAGAUAGGGGUUAAUAAUGGCUGACAUUUUCCUCCAGUUCUGCAGAUGGGGUCUCACAUUAAAUUUAAUUUGAAGGCAAAAAGGACCAUGACAUGUCUUGCAUCCCAAGGUUAUGAUUAAAAUCCAAACUUCUUAUAUCCAUAUAGAGAAAAGGCACAGGAACUCUUCAACAAGUGUCUCAGGGUAGUGGAAUUGUGGGUGACUUUUUUCUUUAUAAUUUUCUGUAUUUUAAGUUUUCUAUGAUUCUUACUUGUUACUUUCAAAAUCAUAAAACCAAUUACUUUAUUUAAACUUUUAUUAGUUAUAUCACUUCACUGUCCAUCUGGCUUAGUCAUACUUUAUUUUCAUCUAGACAUUUUUAUACUGCAAAUGUUUGUUCUAAGUAGGACAGCUAUGAUAUUUCUCUAGAAUCUAGUCCUAGCAUUUGCAUUUAGAUAUAUGUAAAUUAAAACAAUUUAGGCCAACCUUAUUCUAUACUCUACUUUAAAAGAAUUUUUACAGUUUUAAGAGAAACAAGAGGGGUUUAAUCAAUUUGUUACAUGGCAAACAUGCCAAGUCUGGUAUCUGGAAACUAAAUGGCAACUGGGGUUAGUCCAGUGUCAUGAAUGAGUGAAGCAGUAACACAGCAAAUGCUUCUGGUGGUCUUUUUUGGCAACCAAA